rnacentral:tRNA from 1 species
GCCUGGGUGGCUCAGUCGGCUGAGCAUCUGACUUUGGCUCAGGUCAUGAUCUCACGGUCCGUGAGUUCGAGCCCCACAUCGGGCU